rnacentral:rRNA from 1 species
AGAGUUUGAUCCUGGCUCAGGAUGAACGCUAGCGGCGUGCCUUAGGCAUGCAAGUAGAACGAUCUGGAUUUAUUCAGAAAGUUGCGAACGGCUGAGUAACACGUAAGGACUUGCCCCUUGGAGUGGAAUAGCCCCGAGAAAUCGGGAGUAAUACCACAUACGAUCUACGGAUGAAAGGAUGUAACUAUCCACCGAGGGAGAGACUUGCGGCCCAUCAGUUUGUUGGUAGGGUAAUGGCCUACCAAGACUACGACGGGUAGGGGGUGUGAGAGCAUGUUCCCCCAGAAUGGCACUGAGACACGGGCCAUACACCUACGGGUGGCAGCAACCGGGAAUUGUACGCAAUGGACGAAAGUCUGACGUCGCGACGCCGCGUGAAGGAUUAAGGCCUUAGGGUCGUAAACUUCUUUUGAUUGAAUCGAGAGAUUCAGUAGAAUAAGCACCCGCUAACUACGUGCCAGCAGCUGCGGUGAUACGUAGGGUGCAAGCGUUAUCCGGAGUUAUUGGGCGUAAA